rnacentral:lncRNA from 1 species
AAUCAUUAUACUUAAGUUAGAAGUGUAUUGUUUUUAAAAGUUGAAUGAUUAGCAUAAAUAAUUAUUGAGUUAAAUAUUGAAAGAUUAAAAGGUAAUUACAUAAUUAAAAUUUAAUUCAAUAAGUCCCAAAUAAUCCAAGCAUACAUUUGUCUUAAAAAAAACCCAAGGUAAUUACAGUGAAAUUUGCUACAAAUGGAAAUAAAUCCUAAAGACCAAAGUCAGGUAAUCAAAUUUAAAUCUCUUUGAACAGGGGCGCGCCUCCAACCUUGCUGUAUUACAACCCACCUUCCAUUCCAUCAAGUCUCUUCAAACCUGUAAUCUGCAGAAAACAAAAACAGCUUAUUUAAAAAGCACUUUUUAAAAGCACUUAAAAAACUAAAGAAUAACUAAACAAAUUACUCAGUUUGAAACUUUACCCAGCAGGUUAACUUGAACAUCCAAAAAGGCAUUGCAAUAAUAACUUAAAACAGAAUAAACCAAAUCCCACAUAAUCUGGGAUGAGAAAUUCAAAAAAAGCAAGGAGUUUCUUAAAGACUGAAUUUGGUUUUCAAAAAAUUAGGAGAGGUUAACAGGGAGAGACAGAACACAGUAAGAGAUCUUCUCAAAAAAACCUAAACAACAACAACACAACAAAGCAAUUUUUUUUCUCAAAAAAACCUUAAACCAGCAAACACGAGCAAGAACAACAAACACAGCAAGAACAUCAACAAUACGGUAACGAUAUUUUUUUCUCAAAAAAAAAACCUAAUCAAGAAUAACACAACAAUUUCUCUCAAAACCUUAAACCAGAACACAACACAUCAAGAACAACAGAGAUUUUUUUUCAAAAAAAACCUAAAGAACACAACAACAACAAUACCAGAAACGGAGACGCUCGGUAAUCCUUCACCGACGAUUCAUGAAUCGACCAGUAAUCAAAGGAGAAGAAGAGAGAUAGAGUUGGAAAAGAAAAAAAAGUAACAGAAGCAUAAGAGAGAAGCGAAAAAACUCGACGAUACCUUUUCGGAUUUGGUUCGCUUCCGUUCUUCAUCUUUCGACUCGAGCAUCGUCGUUCUGCGUUCCACUUCAAGCGGCGACGC